GUGAAUACCAAAAUAGGAGAAAAUUUCAGAACUUUAAAAAACAUUUUGAAGUCUAAUUUGAUUUAAAAAUUAAUAAAACUCAGUGUUUAUUGAAUGUUUCCCAAGGGCCAGACAAUGUGCUGAGGGCAAAGCGCAAAAGAAAGGAGGUAUUUCUUACCACCAAUAUAAUUCUGCCUUCCAGGACCCGGCUAUUAGAAAAGAGGUUCAAUGUGAAUAUACUGACAAUAACAACAAAAAAAGAGAUUAGAGAAUUAAGAAAGAAAAUUCUAGAGGGCUUAAAGAUCACAUCUGGAAGGAUCUGAAAGGCCUCUUGAAGGAAAUAGAAAAAAAAAUUCUGGCUAAUUCCUCUAAUACUUCUGGACCCUCAUUGGCUAGGAAAUCAUGCUGUGUUCCCAUAUCUAUUUUCUGGUUCCGUGGAAGCUUCUUGAGUACAUGUCUAAUUUGGUUGGGUUCCCCCACUCUCGUACAGCUUCUCAUACAGUUGAAUUUUAAUUUUCAUUCCAUCAUAACGUUGGUGUUUGCCAUAAUCAAGACUGGCACAUCUCACAGGAUGCCUUAG
rnacentral:lncRNA from 1 species